UAGGGAAUCUUCCACAAUGGACGCAAGUCUGAUGGAGCAACGCCGCGUGAGUGAAGAAGGUUUUCGGAUCGUAAAGCUCUGUUUUUGGUGAAGAAGGAUAGAGGCAGUAACUGGUCUUUAUUUGACGGUAAUCAACCAGAAAGUCACGGCUAACUACGUGCCAGCAGCCGCGGUAAUACGUAGGUGGCAAGCGUUGUCCGGAUUUAUUGGGCGUAAAGCGAGCGCAGGCGGAAUGAUAAGUCUGAUGUGAAAGCCCACGGCUCAACCGUGGAACUGCAUCGGAAACUGUCAUUCUUGAGUGCAGAAGAGGAGAGUGGAAUUCCAUGUGUAGCGGUGGAAUGCGUAGAUAUAUGGAAGAACACCAGUGGCGAAGGCGGCUCUCUGGUCUGCAACUGACGCUGAGGCUCGAAAGCAUGGGUAGCGAACAGG
rnacentral:rRNA from 1 species